GGGUUGUGAGGUUAAGCGACUAAGCGUACACGGUGGAUGCCCUGGCAGUCAGAGGCGAUGAAGGACGUGCUAAUCUGCGAAAAGCGUCGGUAAGGUGAUAUGAACCGUUAUAGCCGGCGAUGUCCGAAUGGGGAAACCCAGUGUGAUUCGUCACACUAUCGUUAACUGAAUACAUAGGUUAACGAGGCGAACCGGGGGAACUGAAACAUCUAAGUACCCCGAGGAAAAGAAAUCAACCGAGAUUCCCCCAGUAGCGGCGAGCGAACGGGGAGCAGCCCAGAGUCUGAAUCAGCUUGUGUGUUAGUGGAACGGUCUGGAAAGUCCGACGGUACAGGGUGAUAGUCCCGUACACCAAAAUGCACAGGCUGUGAACUCGAAGAGUAGGGCGGGACACGUGGUAUCCUGUCUGAAUAUGGGGGGACCAUCCUCCAAGGCUAAAUACUCCUGACUGACCGAUAGUGAACCAGUACCGUGAGGGAAAGGCGAAAAGAACCCCGGCGAGGGGAGUGAAAAAGAACCUGAAACCGUGUACGUACAAGCAGUGGGAGCACCUUCGGGUGUGACUGCGUACCUUUUGUAUAAUGGGUCAGCGACUUAUAUUCUGUAGCAAGGUUAACCGUAUAGGGGAGCCGCAGGGAAACCGAGUCUUAACUGGGCGUUAAGUUGCAGGGUAUAGACCCGAAACCCGGUGAUCUAGCCAUGGGCAGGUUGAAGGUUGGGUAACACUAACUGGAGGACCGAACCGACUAAUGUUGAAAAAUUAGCGGAUGACUUGUGGCUGGGGGUGAAAGGCCAAUCAAACCGGGAGAUAGCUGGUUCUCCCCGAAAGCUAUUUAGGUAGCGCCUCGUGAAUUCAUCUUCGGGGGUAGAGCACUGUUUCGGCUAGGGGGUCAUCCCGACUUACCAACCCGAUGCAAACUACGAAUACCGAAGAAUGUUAUCACGGGAGACACACGGCGGGUGCUAACGUCCGUCGUGAAGAGGGAAACAACCCAGACCGCCAGCUAAGGUCCCAAAGUCACAGUUAAGUGGGAAACGAUGUGGGAAGGCACAGACAGCCAGGAUGUUGGCUUAGAAGCAGCCAUCAUUUAAAGAAAGCGUAAUAGCUCACUGGUCGAGUCGGCCUGCGCGGAAGAUGUAACGGGGCUAAACUGUGCACCGAAGCUGCGGCAGCGACACUAUGUGUUGUUGGGUAGGGGAGCGUUCUGUAAGCCUGCGAAGGUGGCCUGUGAGGGUUGCUGGAGGUAUCAGAAGUGCGAAUGCUGACAUAAGUAACGAUAAUGCGGGUGAAAAGCCCGCACGCCGGAAGACCAAGGGUUCCUGUCCAACGUUAAUCGGGGCAGGGUGAGUCGACCCCUAAGGCGAGGCCGAAAGGCGUAGUCGAUGGGAAACAGGUUAAUAUUCCUGUACUUGGUGUUACUGCGAAGGGGGGACGGAGAAGGCUAUGUUAGCCGGGCGACGGUUGUCCCGGUUUAAGCAUGUAGGCGGAGGUUCCAGGUAAAUCCGGUACCUUUUUAACGCUGAGGUGUGAUGACGAGGCACUACGGUGCUGAAGUAACAAAUGCCCUGCUUCCAGGAAAAGCCUCUAAGCAUCAGGUAACAUUGAAUCGUACCCCAAACCGACACAGGUGGUCAGGUAGAGAAUACCAAGGCGCUUGAGAGAACUCGGGUGAAGGAACUAGGCAAAAUGGUGCCGUAACUUCGGGAGAAGGCACGCUGAUAUGUAGGUGAAGCCCCUGCGGGUGGAGCUGAAAUCAGUCGAAGAUACCAGCUGGCUGCAACUGUUUAUUAAAAACACAGCACUGUGCAAACACGAAAGUGGACGUAUACGGUGUGACGCCUGCCCGGUGCCGGAAGGUUAAUUGAUGGGGUUAUCCGUAAGGAGAAGCUCUUGAUCGAAGCCCCGGUAAACGGCGGCCGUAACUAUAACGGUCCUAAGGUAGCGAAAUUCCUUGUCGGGUAAGUUCCGACCUGCACGAAUGGCGUAAUGAUGGCCAGGCUGUCUCCACCCGAGACUCAGUGAAAUUGAACUCGCUGUGAAGAUGCAGUGUACCCGCGGCAAGACGGAAAGACCCCGUGAACCUUUACUAUAGCUUGACACUGAACAUUGAGCCUUGAUGUGUAGGAUAGGUGGGAGGCUUUGAAGCGUGGACGCCAGUCUGCGUGGAGCCAACCUUGAAAUACCACCCUUUAAUGUUUGAUGUUCUAACGUUGGCCCCUUAUCGGGGUUGCGGACAGUGUCUGGUGGGUAGUUUGACUGGGGCGGUCUCCUCCCAAAGAGUAACGGAGGAGCACGAAGGUUAGCUAAUCCUGGUCGGACAUCAGGAGGUUAGUGCAAUGGCAUAAGCUAGCUUGACUGCGAGCGUGACGGCGCGAGCAGGUGCGAAAGCAGGUCAUAGUGAUCCGGUGGUUCUGAAUGGAAGGGCCAUCGCUCAACGGAUAAAAGGUACUCCGGGGAUAACAGGCUGAUACCGCCCAAGAGUUCAUAUCGACGGCGGUGUUUGGCACCUCGAUGUCGGCUCAUCACAUCCUGGGGCUGAAGUAGGUCCCAAGGGUAUGGCUGUUCGCCAUUUAAAGUGGUACGCGAGCUGGGUUUAGAACGUCGUGAGACAGUUCGGUCCCUAUCUGCCGUGGGCGCUGGAGAAUUGAGGGGGGCUGCUCCUAGUACGAGAGGACCGGAGUGGACGCAUCACUGGUGUUCGGGUUGUCAUGCCAAUGGCAUUGCCCGGUAGCUAAAUGCGGAAGAGAUAAGUGCUGAAAGCAUCUAAGCACGAAACUUGCCCCGAGAUGAGUUCUCCCUGAGACUUUAAGUCUCCUGAAGGAACGUUAAAGACGAUGACGUUGAUAGGUCGGGUGUGUAAGCGUAGCGAUACGUUGAGCUAACCGAUACUAAUGAACCGUGAGGCUUAACCUUACAACGCCGAAGGUGUUU
rnacentral:rRNA from 1 species